rnacentral:rRNA from 1 species
CGCGAAAACUUCACACUGCAGGAAACUGUGAUGAGGGAACUCCAAGUGCAUGCACUAUGUGCAUGCUUUUCUUAACUAUUAAUCGGUUUUGGAAUAAGGGCUGGGAAAGACCGGUGCCAGCCGCCGCGGUAAUACCGGCAGCUCAAGUGGUCGUCGCUUUUAUUGGGCCUAAGACGUCCGUAGCCUGUUUGGUAAAUCUGUGGGUAAACCAACCAGCUUAACUGGUUGAAUUCUGCAGAGACUGCCAGACUAGGGACCGGGAGAGGUGUGGGGUACUCUAGGGGUAGGGUAAAAUCCUGUCAUCCUUAGAGGACCACCAGUUGCGAAGGCGCCACGCUGGAACGGAUCCGACGGUCAGGGACGAAGCCUAGGGGCACGAACCGGAUUAGAUACCCGGGUAGUCCUAGGUGUAAACGCUGUGAACUUGGUGUCGGGAUCCGUAAUGGGUUCUCGGUGCCGGAGUGAAGAUGUUAAGUUC